rnacentral:rRNA from 1 species
GACAGAGGAUGCAAGCGUUAUCCGGAAUUAUUGGGCGUAAAGAGCUCGUAGGCGGUCUGUCGCGUCGGCUGUGAAAACUUGGGGCUCAACCCCAAGCCUGCAGUCGAUACGGGCAGACUAGAGUGCGGUAGGGGAGACUGGAAUUCCUGGUGUAGCGGUGAAAUGCGCAGAUAUCAGGAGGAACACCGGUGGCGAAGGCGGGUCUCUGGGCCGUAACUGACGCUGAGGAGCGAAAGCGUGGGGAGCGAACAGG